rnacentral:rRNA from 1 species
GAUGAACGCUGGCGGCGUGCCUAAUACAUGCAAGUCGAGCGAACGGACGAGAAGCUUGCUUCUCUGAUGUUAGCGGCGGACGGGUGAGUAACACGUGGAUAACCUACCUAUAAGACUGGGAUAACUUCGGGAAACCGUAGCUAAUACCGGAUAAUAUUUUGAACCGAAUGGUUCAAAAGUGAAAGACGGUCUUGCUGUCACUUAUAGAUGGAUCCGCGCUGCAUUAGCUAGUUGGUAAGGUAACGGCUUACCAAGGCAACGAUGCAUAGCCGACCUGAGAGGGUGAUCGGCCACACUGGAACUGAGACACGGUCCAGACUCCUACGGGAGGCAGCAGUAGGGAAUCUUCCGCAAUGGGCGAAAGCCUGACGGAGCAACGCCGCGUGAGUGAUGAAGGUCUUCGGAUCGUAAAACUCUGUUAUUAGGGAAGAACAUAUGUGUAAGUAACUGUGCACAUCUUGACGGUACCUAAUCAGAAAGCCACGGCUAACUACGUG